AAUCAACUCCAGUUAGAGGCCGCUUGCAGUGCUACAGCAGAAGAAAGAGAUGAGCUACGCAUACAAUUAACUAAACUGGAGUCGAUGAAGAACGUAAAACCCUAUAUAGUGAGGGUCACCCUGGAUCCUGACACGGCACACCCCAACCUCAUCCUCUCUGCUGA